UACGGGGGGGGCAAGCGUUGUUCGGAAUUACUGGGCGUAAAGGGCUCGUAGGCGGCCUGCUAAGUCGGACGUGAAAUCCCUCGGCUCAACCGGGGAACUGCGUCCGAUACUGGUGGGCUCGAAUCCGGGAGAGGGAUGUGGAAUUCCAGGUGUAGCGGUGAAAUGCGUAGAUAUCUGGAGGAACACCGGUGGCGAAGGCGGCAUCCUGGACCGGCAUUGACGCUGAGGAGCGAAAGCCAGGGGAGCAAACGGG
rnacentral:rRNA from 1 species